rnacentral:rRNA from 1 species
GACGAACGCUGGCGGCGUGCUUAACACAUGCAAGUCGAACGGAAAGGCCCUGCUUGCAGGGUGCUCGAGUGGCGAACGGGUGAGUAACACGUGGGUGAUCUGCCCUGCACUUCGGGAUAAGCCUGGGAAACUGGGUCUAAUACCGGAUAGGAGCCAUUUUUAGUGUGAUGGUUGGAAAGUUUUUUCGGUGUAGGAUGAGCUCGCGGCCUAUCAGCUUGUUGGUGGGGUAAUGGCCUACCAAGGCGGCGACGGGUAGCCGGCCUGAGAGGGUGGACGGCCACACUGGGACUGGGAGGCGGCCCAGACUCCUACGGGAGGCAGCAGUGGGGAAUAUUGCACAAUGGGCGCAAGCCUGAUGCAGCGACGCCGCGUGGGGGAUGACGGCCUUCGGGUUGUAAACUCCUUUCGCUAGGGACGAAGCUUUUUGUGACGGUACCUAGAUAAGAAGCACCGGCUAACUACGUG